rnacentral:tRNA from 1 species
GUCGCAGUGGCUGAGUGGUAAAGCGCUUGGCUUCCGAACAGGAAAUCCCGAGUUCGAACCCGAGUGAAGACU